GGGCGCGUAGCUCAACGGCAGAGCGAGUGUCUUAUACACACUUGGUUCCAGGUUCGAAUCCUGGCGCGCCCA
rnacentral:tRNA from 1 species